rnacentral:rRNA from 1 species
AUUGAACGCUGGCGGCAGGCCUAACACAUGCAAGUCGAACGAGUGGCGGACGGGCGAGUAAUGUCUGGGAACCUGCCCGAUGGAGGGGGAUAACUACUGGAAACGGUAGCUAAUACCGCAUACCAUCGGAUGUGCCCAGAGGGGAUUAGCUAGUAGGUGGGGUAACGGCUCACCUAGGCGACGAUCCCUAGCUGGUCUGAGAGGAGGACCAGCCACACUGGAACUGAGACACGGUCCAGACUCCUACGGGAGGCAGCAGUGGGGAAUAUUGGGCAAUGGGCGCAAGCCUGAUCGAGCCAUGCCGCGUGUAUGAAGAAGGCCUUCGGGUUGUAAAGUACUUUCAGCGAGGAGGCGUUACUCACAGAGAAAGCACCGGCUAACUCCGUGCCAGCAGCCGCGGUAAUUC